rnacentral:lncRNA from 1 species
GGCCUUACAGGAAGACCAGGACUCCCGGGAGACAAAGGCGCAAUGGGGAUCCCUGGGCGGCCGGGACUAAAAGGGCAACCGGGAGAGAAGGGUGCUCCAGGAGAAGCGGGCAUGUCUAUCAUUGGACCCCGUGGUCCACCCGGACAGCCUGGAACAAGAGGUUUUCCUGGAUUCCCGGGCCCUAUUGGCUUGGACGGCAAACCGGUAAGCAAACAGCUUGUCUCAAGACUUUCUGCCCUGCUUCCUGCUAGGCUGCACUGUCCUGUCAGCCUGCGUAUUAGAGAGUAUGUUUUCAAGAGGAUUAUUUUGCAAUGUCAUGCACAUGCUUGGAUUAAAAGAAAAUUAGAAGGUUGGCAGGCAGGAGGAUACCACAGAUGCCUUGGGGGAGAUGCAGGAGUCAGGAGAUUAGGGAAGGCAGAGUGUGGCUGUUUCCUUUCUAGGCAAACCUAUAAAAUAGCACUUCACAAGUGCAACAGCCUGGCUGCUGCAGGGAAAGCUUUAGCAGGCACUCCCACCCCAAGUCAGACAGGCAGAGCAGGUCCCCUAGGCACCAG